ACUCCCUCGUAUGAACACGAGUUUCUUGUAGUGAUGUAAUAUAAGAUUAGCAAAUAGGACAGGAAGGACAUCAAUGAAGAUCUAUCUUGGAGAAGUAUAGGUCGUUAUUAGAUAUAGCAUAGGUUCCCUCGUUUGCUUGAGGGAACAAUCACGCUAGGGGCCAUAACCAUAUCAUUUUAUUAUAUUAUGUAUGUUGAUGCAUGUUAUGUAUGGAGUGACGUCAUUGUAUGUAAGCCGUGGUAAGGUGAGAUCAAAUUAAUUAUAAAAGCCCUCAAAGGAAUUAAUAUUAAGUUGUAUUGCUUUCCAACGAAUAGCGCCCUUCAAGAUCAAUAUCGAUCAAUGUAGGUUUUGCCAACGCGAAGUGCAUUGUCAAUAUUGAUAAGUUGUGGUGAGGUAAUUUAUUUAUCCG
rnacentral:lncRNA from 1 species